rnacentral:rRNA from 1 species
GACGGAGGAUGCAAGCGUUUAUCCGGAAUGAUUGGGCGUAAAGCGUCUGUAGGUGGUUUAUUAAGUCUACUGUUAAAGAUCAGGGCUUAACCCUGGGCAGGCAGUAGAAACUAAUAAGCUUGAGUAUGGUAGGGGCAGAGGGAAUUCCCGGUGUAGCGGUGAAAUGCGUAGAGAUCGGGAAGACACCAACGGCGAAAGCACUCUGCUGGGCCGAAAACUGACACUGGAGAGACGAAAAGCUAGGGGAGCGAAUGGG